CCACACUUCUUUUGUAUAAAGCCGACCCUGCCCCGCCUCACCUAAUUGUCAAGAGACAGGCGGACCAAACCCACACCCAUUACAAGGCCAAGGGGCAGGCAACCCUACUCAAGCCUCAAGCAACCAACGCGGCGCCAAGGAAGAACCCCUCCCUUCUUCCACCCACCGAUCCUUCCCUCCGUUCCUCGUCCUCGCCGGCGACGACCUGCAGCCAUGGCAAUGGCUUACAAGAUGGCGACGGAGGGGAUGAACAUCAAGGAGGAGUGCAAGCGGUGGUUCACGGAGAUGAAGUGGAAGAAGGUGCACCGCUUCGUGGUGUACAAGAUCGACGAGCGGACGCGCGCCGUGCUGGUGGACAAGGUGGGCGGCCCCGGGGAGGGGUACGACGAGCUCGUCGCCGCGCUGCCCGGCGACGACUGCCGCUACGCCGUCUUCGACUUCGACUUCGUCUCCGUCGACAACUGCCAGAAGAGCAAGAUCUUCUUCAUCGCAUGGUCGCCGGCGGCGUCGAGGAUAAGGGCCAAGAUCCUGUACGCGACGUCGAAGCAAGGCCUGCGGCGGGUGCUGGAGGGGGUCCACUACGAGGUGCAGGCCACCGAGCGCUCCGAGAUGGGCUUCGACGUCAUCAGAGAGCGCGCGCAAUGAGCGAGCCGCCGCCCAGAGCGAGCUUUACUAUGUUGGUGUGCCUGUCGCCGACGAUCGCCGGUGUACUAUAAUCGAACGGACGCUGAUUGGGGCUGGCUGGUUGGUUGGCUCGUGUGCUCUGCCAGCAGCCUCGCUCGACGCGAUCUGACGAGGGUUUGGGCUUUGAUUCAGUAGAAAUUACCGAUCCGUGGCUUGAGAUUGUGCCGUACGUGCGUGUGAUGUAUAGGGGGAGCUGAGAGAGCGGCAGCGGAUUAAUGAAACGUCCCAUCUCUGCGUGCGACGUGGAAAUUCCACUGAUGCUGGGGAUGCCCCGACUUGGUUUGCUAUUGUGCUUCAACCGCUCUUCAAGAUGGUACUACAACGGUUGAUUGCUCUGGGUUGUCUCUUUGUCUGGUGAAAUUGUUCCAGGCGUUCUUCGCCUCUGUUACGCCCAACUCAAAGCAGAACUUGUAAGGACACGAGCGACUCUUCUUCAGAUUUUUGUAAGGAACUAGAAGGAGGAGGCAGCGUGUGUUUUUCAUGCGCCUCGCUGCGCCAAAUCUAAAACAUGGGCAUCAUAGAAACAACAUAAUGUAACAUCCCGAUUCUCUUUUUCCAAAAAUCAAGGCGAGAAAAUUUCAUUUGUUUUUU
rnacentral:rRNA from 1 species